rnacentral:tRNA from 1 species
GGGACCGUGGGGUAGCUUGGUAUCCUCCGGGCCUUGGGUGCCCGCAACCGCGGUUCAAAUCCGCGCGGUCCCA